AUAUAUGGGUAAACCUGUUGAAAAACAGGGGCACAAAGCUGAGUGUCUAAGGCAGAUAUGCUAUGAUUGACUGGCCGC
rnacentral:ncRNA from 1 species